CAGAUAACCUCUCUGCACCUCCGUUUCUUCAUCCUAUAAAGGACUGUGUUAGGGAGGACGCUGUCUUUGGGCAGGCCAGUAAUUUAACAUACAGUUACCAGGUGUGCAGUGAGUACCAGGCAUUGUGCUAGGUGCUGGAGAAGCAGUGUAAGGCAGAGUCCACGGUCACACCAUCACUAGUUAAUCAAUCACAGUUACGAUAAGUGUUACAAAGGAAGGGUACAGGGGUAUAAGACCAUUUUGGGGGACCGCCAAGGGAAACAGCCAAGGGACGGGAAGGAGCUCCCCCCUGCUUGCUUCUCCCUUUGAGGUCACUUGAUUCUUCUGCCUGACGCCUUGGUAGGGUCGUUCUUUGUCUCCGCAGUUCAGCAACUUCACCAGAAUUAAUUGUGGUGUGUAUUAUUUUCUGUCCUUCUCUCCUAAACUUUAGUUUGUUAUUUAAUUCUUCAGACAGAGAUUUUCCUCCCCCUUUUUUGUUUUCAGGGAACAUUUCCAUCCCUAUGUUAAUGUUAUCAUCUAUUUGUUUCAUUCUCCUUUGGGAACACCAGUUAUACAUUUGUUGGCCAUCUUUUGUUUGUCUUCCACGUCUGUUAUGUUUUCUGUGGUCACUUGUCACUUUCUGUGAUUUCCUCUGCAUACUCUCCUCAUCUCUCUGUCAGCUCUUUGUUGUUGUGUGUUAUUGCUUCUAGAAGUACAGCUUUUACUUCCUCUGUUUUGAAUUUAUUUUUCCUUUUGGUUUUUAGUUCUCCAAAUUUACUUUUCACAUCUUUUGUUACCUUAUCACUUCUCUUGAUCUCAUGUAUCUCUUCUUUGGGUUCUUGAUAUCAGUGUGUGCUGUCCUUCAUCUCUUGGAGAGAAUAGAGGCUGGAUUCUGGACAGUAAAGGCAGGCUCUCCACUGGUGUGUCCCUUUAGAUUCUUCUCCCCUCACCUCUGCCCUAUGGGAAUGACUACUUCUCAUGGUCCCAUCUGCACCCUUGCUCUCAUUGCAGCCAUCAGAGCAUCACUGUGGACCUUUGUGACUGUGAUGCUUUGUGGUUUCACAGGGGUCUUCAUGCCUGAAGCCUGAGGAGGUUCAGCAGCUUUUGGCAUUUUCCUUCUCUUCCAGAUUUCCUAGAUUUGGUAGCUGUUUUCUGCCAUUGACUAAGCUUUUUUUUUCUUUUCUUUUUUGUCCCCUCCCCCUCCACCAUUCUUCUGAUUGCUUUCAGUAGGUUUUAAGGGAGGAGAGUGUAGUCUAAAUGCCUUGUUACCAUUUCUGAGUAGAAAUCAUGGAUAGGAUGUUAUUGAAGCUCUCCUGUCAUCAUUCUUGCUAUAGUUGUGUUUGUGGAUUUGCAGAGCAUCUUGUCAUAAAGUGCCAUAUAUUCA